UACAGAGGGUGCGAGCGUUAAUCGGAAUUACUGGGCGUAAAGCGCACGUAGGUGGCGACGUAAGUCGGGUGUGAAAGCCCCGGGCUCAACCUGGGAAUUGCAUUCGAGACUGCAUUGCUGGAGUACGGAAGAGGAGGGCGGAAUUCCCGGUGUAGCGGUGAAAUGCGUAGAUAUCGGGAGGAACAUCAGUGGCGAAGGCGGCCCUCUGGUCCAGUACUGACACUCAAGUGCGAAAGCGUGGGGAGCGAACCGG
rnacentral:rRNA from 1 species